UCCUWCGGGAGGCAGCAGUGGGGAAUAUUGCACAAUGGGCGCAAGCCUGAUGCAGCCAUGCCGCGUGUAUGAAGAAGGCCUUAGGGUUGUAAAGUACUUUCAGCGGGGAGGAAGGUGAUAAGGUUAAUACCCUUAUCAAUUGACGUUACCCGCAGAAGAAGCACCGGCUAACUCCGUGCCAGCAGCCGCGGUAAUACGGAGGGUGCAAGCGUUAAUCGGAAUUACUGGGCGUAAAGCGCACGCAGGCGGUCAAUUAAGUCAGAUGUGAAAGCCCCGAGCUUAMCUUGGGAAUUGCAUCUGAAACUGGUUGGCUAGAGUCUUGUAGAGGGGGGUAGAAUUCCAUGUGUAGCGGUGAAAUGCGUAGAGAUGUGGAGGAAUACCGGUGGCGAAGGCGG
rnacentral:rRNA from 1 species